rnacentral:lncRNA from 1 species
CUGAAGCAGGCACUACUGUAUCUUAGGUGGGUUUAUCUAAUUGCCACUGGCUGUUUCUUCCUGAGUAUCCAUUUGAGCUCUCUUCCCUCCAAAAUCUGUUUCUCUUAGCCCAAUAAAUAAUACCAGCAACCCAUUACUCAUACUAGAAGCAACCUGGGGGCCAUCCUAGAUACUUUACCUCCUCUAAUCAUUAACCAAAUUUCUACUCAUAGUACCUUCUAAAUACUUUCUUUUCCAUCCUCC